UGAAAUGAAGAGUCAAUCCCCAUAAGUCAUAUUUAGCAAGCCUAGCUGCAGAGCCUUUAUGAGUAACCCAUAAUUCGGUUGAUUGCAAAUCUACAAGACCAGCUCCACUUACUGGAUCACGAGCCAUAUUUCCUCCGAAGUUUUCAAUAAUUCUUGCAUGGGAAGCAUUUAUUUCUGAAGGUGCUGCUGUUAGAUCUAUUGCAUCUAUAUCCUUCUUCAUCACAGCAAGAAGAUGCUAAGAUGCCUUCAUCGCAGCAAGAAGAUGCUAAGAUGCACCAGGAUGACUAUUAUUUGAUUGCUUUGUCUCUAUAUCAUAAAGAUUGCAUGCAUUGACGCUGAGGCAAGUGAUUG
rnacentral:misc_RNA from 1 species